rnacentral:rRNA from 1 species
AGCGAACGCUGGCGGCAGGCCUAACACAUGCAAGUCGAACGAACCUUUCGGGGUUAGUGGCGGACGGGUGAGUAACACGUGGGAACGUGCCUUUAGGUUCGGAAUAACUCAGGGAAACUUGUGCUAAUACCGAAUGUGCCCUUCGGGGGAAGAUUAAUCGCCUUUAGAGCGGCCCGCGUCUGAUUAGCUAGUUGGUUGAGGUAAUGGCUCACCAAGGCGACGAUCAGUAGCUGGUCUGAGAGGAUGAUCAGCCACAUUGGGACUGAGACACGGCCCAAACUCCUACGGGAGGCAGCAGUGGGGAAUCUUGCGCAAUGGGCGAAAGCCUGACGCAGCCAUGCCGCGUGAAUGAUGAAGGUCUUAGGAUUGUAAAAUUCUUUCACCGGGGACGAUAAUGACGGUACCCGGAGAAGAAGCCCCGGCUAACUUCGUG